rnacentral:rRNA from 1 species
UGGAAGUAAAAGUCGUAACAAGGUUUCCGUAGGUGAACCUGCGGAAGGAUCAUUAUCGAGUUUUGACCGGGUUGUAGCUGGCCUUCCGAGGCAUGUGCACGCCCUGCUCAUCCACUCUACACCUGUGCACUUACUGUGGGCUUCAGAUUGCGAGGCACGCUCUUUACCGGGCUUGCGGAGCAUAUCUGUGCCUGCGUUUAUCACAAACUCUAUAAAGUAACAGAAUGUGUAUUGCGAUGUAACACAUCUAUAUACAACUUUCAGCAACGGAUCUCUUGGCUCUCGCAUCGAUGAAGAACGCAGCRAAAUGCGAUAAGUAAUGUGAAUUGCAGAAUUCAGUGAAUCAUCGAAUCUUUGAACGCACCUUGCGCUCCUUGGUAUUCCGAGGAGCAUGCCUGUUUGAGUGUCAUGAAAUCUUCAACCUACAAGCUUUUGUGGUUUGUAGGCUUGGACUUGGAGGCUUGUCGGCCGUUAUCGGUCGGCUCCUCUUAAAUGCAUUAGCUUGGUUCCUUGCGGAUCGGCUCUCGGUGUGAUAAUGUCUACGCCGCGACCGUGAAGCGUUUGGCGAGCUUCUAACCGUCUUAUAAGACAGCUUUAUGACCUCUGACCUCAAAUCAGGUAGGACUACCCGCUGAACUUAAGCAUAUCAAUAAGCGGAGGAA